UUACGUCCACAUCAUGACGAAAAACCGGUUUCCGUAUGAUCACCGAAGUUAAGCUAAGUCAAGCCUGGUCAGUAUCUAGAUGGGUUACUGCUUGAGAAUAUCAUGUAUUGUAAG